rnacentral:rRNA from 1 species
UGCAAGUCGAACGAUCCCUUCGGGGAUAGUGGCAGACGGGUGAGUAACGCGUGGGAACCUACCUUUAGGUACGGAACAACAGUUGGAAACGACUGCUAAUACCGUAUGUGCCCUAUGGGGGAAAGAUUUAUCGCCUAAGGAUGGGCCCGCGUUGGAUUAGCUAGUUGGUGGGGUAAUGGCCUACCAAGGCGACGAUCCAUAGCUGGUCUGAGAGGAUGAUCAGCCACACUGGGACUGAGACACGGCCCAGACUCCUACGGGAGGCAGCAGUGGGGAAUAUUGGACAAUGGGGGCAACCCUGAUCCAGCCAUGCCGCGUGAGUGAUGAAGGCCCUAGGGUUGUAAAGCUCUUUCAGCGAGGAGGAUAAUGACGUUACUCGCAGAAGAAGCCCCGGCUAACUUCGUGCCAGCAGCCGCGGUAAUACGAAGGGGGCUAGCGUUGUUCGGAAUCACUGGGCGUAAAGCGCACGUAGGCGGACUUUUAAGUCAGGGGUGAAAUCCCGGGGCUCAACCUCGGAACUGCCUUUGAUACUGGAAGUCUUGAGUCCGAGAGAGGUGAGUGGAACUCCGAGUGUAGAGGUGAAAUUCGUAGAUAUUCGGAAGAACACCAGUGGCGAAGGCGGCUCACUGGCUCGGUACUGACGCUGAGGUGCG